AGCCAAAGGCGUAAACACAACCAACUUUGGCCCAGCAGAGAGAUUUGAACGGAGCCCUCCCGGCGGCACAGGACAAAUACGUCUUCUGAGGGACGACGCGCCCAGAUUUGCUGACCAGAGCAUCCGUGUUAUUGGAGGAAAGCCCGGGAGAGCCAAGUGUCAUCUCGAACGUGCUGAAUCUAGCUCCGCGCUUACAAGGGGACCUGGGCUUUGUCACUGGAUAAUUUUCUGCCAGCUGCCACCCACGAAUAAGCAAAUAAUGGCUCAUCGAGCGCAUUCUCCCACGGCAGGCUCCUCAGCCGGCCGGACACCAGCCUCAGCAUGUUCCUCAACCAUGUGCCAGACGCGCGCAGAGAGGUUUGCCCACCACCAGUGGACACCCUGUGGGCCCGUGCUGAGAUCCUUCCUGCUCACGCGUGACACUUGGCAGAAUGUCCUUGGUUCAUGUUAAGCAUGGUAUUAAAACAUCCUUUUUUU